UACGAAGGGGGCUAGCGUUGCUCGGAAUCACUGGGCGUAAAGGGUGCGUAGGCGGGUCUUUAAGUCAGGGGGGAAAUCCUGGAGCUCAACUCCAGAACUGCCUUUGAUACUGAAGAUCUUGAGUUCGGGAGAGGUGAGUGGAACUGCGAGUGUAGAGGUGAAAUUCGUAGAUAUUCGCAAGAACACCAGUGGCGAAGGCGGCUCACUGGCCCGAAACUGACGCUGAGGCACGAAAGCGUGGGGAGCAAACAGG
rnacentral:rRNA from 1 species